rnacentral:lncRNA from 1 species
CUUUAGUUCCACCUGGCCGAUGCCCCUUCCAUCUGCGGCCCGACAUCACCUCCAACCGGGCCGCCGUGGCUCGGCCGUUUCUGCCGACUUCUCUUUAGUCGACCCGGCCGAUCCACCUUCCAUCUUCAGCCCGACAUCACCUCCAACCGGGGCGCCGUGGCACGGCCGUUUGUGGCGACUUCUCUUUAGUGGACCCGGCCGAUCCGCCUUCCCUCUUCGGCCCGAUAUCACCUCCAACCGGGCCGCCGUGGCUCGGCCGUUUGUGGCGACUUGUCUUUAGUCGACCCGGCCGAUGCCACUUCCAUCUCUGGCGACUUCUCUUUAGUCGACCCGGCCGAUGGCCCUUCCAUCU